rnacentral:rRNA from 1 species
GAUGAACGCUAGCUAUAGGCUUAACACAUGCAAGUCGAGGGGAAACGGCAUUAUGUGCUUGCACAUUUUGGACGUCGACCGGCGCACGGGUGAGUAUCGCGUAUCCAACCUGCCCUUUACUUGGGGAUACCCCGUUGAAAGACGGCCUAAUACCCGAUGUAAUUCAUUGAUGGCAUCAGAUAUGAAUAAAAGAUUUAUCGGUAUAGGAUGGGGAUGCGUCUGAUUAGCUUGUUGGUGAGGUAACGGCUCACCAAGGCGACGAUCAGUAGGGGUUCUGAGAGGAAGGUCCCCCACAUUGGAACUGAGACACGGUCCAAACUCCUACGGGAGGCAGCAGUGAGGAAUAUUGGUCAAUGGGCGCAAGCCUGAACCAGCCAAGUAGCGUGCAGGAAGACGGCCCUAUGGGUUGUAAACUGCUUUUAUACGAGAAUAAUUUGAUGCACGUGUGCGUUAUUGCAUGUAUCGUAUGAAUAAGGACCGGCUAAUUCCGUG